CAGAAUCCACAACUCUCAUUUCAACGACAGCGCCUACAUCUUCAGAAACAACUGCACCUUUAACAACUUCAGAAACUACAGCAUCCUCAACUACUGAAAUUCCCACAACCACAGUUGUGAGUACAGAAACCACAUCUAUUACUUCAACAGUGGUGCCUACAACUUCAGAGAGUACAACAGCAGAAACCACGACUACAGCUUCAUCAACCACAACUACAACAACGAACAAUCCAACAACAUCAACAUCUGUAACUUCUGAAUCUACAACUCUUACUUCAACAGUUACACCUACAUCUUCAGAAACAACUACACCUCUAACAACAACAGUAACUACAGCAUCCUCAACUUCUGAAAUUCCCACAACCACAGUGGUGAGUACAGAAACCACAUCUAUUACUUCAACAGUGAUGCCUACAACUUCAGAAAGUACAACAAUAGAAACCACGACUACAGUUUCAUCAACCACUCCUACAACAACAAACAAUCCAACAACAUCAACAGCUGUAGCUUCAGAAUCCACAACUCUCAUUUCAACGACAGCGCCUACAUCUUCAGAAACAACUGCACCUUUAACAACUUCAGAAACUACAGCAUCCUCAACUACUGAAAUUCCCACAACCACAGUUGUGAGUACAGAAACCACAUCUAUUACUUCAACAGUGGUGCCUACAACUUCAGAGAGUACAACAGCAGAAACCACGACUACAGCUUCAUCAACCACAACUACAACAACGAACAAUCCAACAACAUCAACAUCUGUAACUUCUGAAUCUACAACUCUUACUUCAACAGUUACACCUACAUCUUCAGAAACAACUACACCUCUAACAACAUCAGUAACUACAGCAUCCUCAACUACUGAAAUUCCCACAACCACGGUGGUGAGUUUAGAAACCACAUCUAUUACUUCAACAGUGGUGCCUACAACUUCAGAGAGUACAACAGUAGAAACCACGACUACAGCUUCAUCAUCCACUCCUACAACAACAAACGAUCCAACAACAUCAACGGCUGUAACUUCAGAAACUACAACUCUUACUUCAACAGUUAUACCUACAUCUUCAGAAACAACUACACCUCUAACAACAUCAGUAACUACAGCUUCCUCAACUACUGAAAUUCCCACAACCACGUUGUGAGUACAGAAACCACAUCUAUUACUUCAACAGUGGUGCAUACAACUUCAGAGAGUACAACAGUAGAAACCACGACUACAGCUUCAUCAACCACUCCUACAACAACAAACGAUCUAACAACAUCAACGGCUGUAACUUCAGAAUCCACAACUCUCAUUUCAACGACAGCGCCUACAUCUUCAGAAACAACUGCACCUUUAACAACUUCAGAAACUACAGCAUCCUCAACUUCUGAAAUUCCCACAACCACAGUUGUGAGUACAGAAACCACAUCUAUUACUUCAACAGUGGUGCCUACAACUUCAGAGAGUACAACAGCAGAAACCACGACUACAGCUUCAUCAACCACAACUACAACAACGAACAAUCCAACAACAUCAACAUCUGUAACUUCUGAAUCUACAACUCUUACUUCAACAGUUACACCUACAUCUUCAGAAACAACUACACCUCUAACAACAUCAGUAACUACAGCAUCCUCAACUACUGAAAUUCCCACAACCACAGUGGUGAGUUUAGAAACCACAUCUAUUACUUCAACAGUGGUGCCUACAACUUCAGAGAGUACAACAGUAGAAACCACGACUACAGCUUCAUCAACCACUCCUACAACAACAAACGAUCCAACAACAUUUACGGCUGUAACUUCAGAAACUACAACUCUUACUUCAACAGUUAUACCUACAUCUUCAGAAACAACUACACCUCUAACAACAUCAGUAACUACAGCCUCCUCAACUACUGAAUUUCCCACAACCACAGUUGUGAGUACAGAAUCCACAUCUAUUACUUCAACAGUUGUGCCUACAACUUCAGAGAGUACAACAGUAGAAUCCACGACUACAGCUUCAUCAACCACUCCUACAACAACAAACAAUCCAACAACAUCAACAGCUGUAACUUCAGAAUCCACAACUCUCACUUCAACGACAGCGCCUACAUCUUCAGAAACACCUGCACCUUUAACAACUUCAGAAACUACAGCAUCCUCAACUACUGAAAUUCCCACAACCACAGUUGUGAGUACAGAAACCACAUCUAUUACUUCAACAGUGGUGCCUACAACUUCAGAGAGUACAACAGCAGAAACCACGACUACAGCUUCAUCAACCACAACUACAACAACGAACAAUCCAACAACAUCAACAUCUGUAACUUCUGAAUCUACAACUCUUACUUCAACAGUUACACCUACAUCUUCAGAAACAACUACACCUCUAACAACAUCAGUAACUACAGCAUCCUCAACUACUGAAAUUCCCAGAACCACAGUUGUGAGUACAGAAACCACAUCUAUUACUUCAACAGUGAUGCCUACAACUUCAGAAAGUACAACAGUAGAAACCACGACUACAGCUUCAUCAACCACUCCUACAACAACAAACAAUCCAACAACAUCAACAGCUGUAACUUCAGAAUCCACAACUCUAAUUUCAACGACAGCGCCUACAUCUUCAGAAACAACUGCACCUUUAACAACUUCAGAAACUACAGCAUCCUCAACUACUGAAAUUCCGACAACCACAGUUGUGAGUACAGAAACCACAUCUAUUACUUCAACAGCGGUGCCUACAACUUCAGAGAGUACAACAGCAGAAACCACGACUACAGCUUCAUCAACCACAACUACAACAACGAACAAUCCAACAUCAACAGCUGCAACUUCAGAAUCCACAACUCUCACUUCAACAACAGUGCCUACAUCUAUAGAAACAACUGCACCUGUAACAACAUCAGUAACUACAGCAUCCUCAACUACUGAAAUUCCCACAACCACAGUUGUAAGUUCAGAAACCACAUCUGUUUCUUCAACAGUGGUGCCUACAACUUCAGAGAGUACAACAGCAGAAACCACGACUACAGUUUCAUCAACCACACCAACAACAAGGAACAAUCCAACAACAUCAACAUCUGUAACUUCUGAAUCUACAACUCUUACUUCAACAGUUAUACCUACAUCUUCAGAAACAACUACACCUCUAACAACAUCAGUAACUACAGCAUCCUCAACUACUGAAAUUCCAAAAACCACAGUGGUGAGUUUAGAAACCACAUCUAUUACUUCAACAGUUGUGCCUACAACUUCAGAGAGUACAACAGUAGAAACAACGACUACAGCUUCAUCAACCACUCCUACAACAACUAACAAUCCAACAACAUCAACAGCUGCAACUUCAGAAUCUACAGUUCUCACUUCAUCAACAGUGGCUACAUCUAUAGAAACAACUGCACCUGUAACAACAUCAGUAACUACAGCAUCCUCAACUAGUGAAAUUCCCACAACCACAGUUGUAAGUUCAGAAACCACAUCUGUUUCUUCAACAGUGGUGCCUACAACUUCAGAGAGUACAACAGCAGAAACCACGACUACAGUUUCAUCAACCACACCAACAACAACGAACAAUCCAACAACAACAACAUCUGUAACUUCUGAAUCUACAACUCUUACUUCAACAGUUAUACUUACAUCUUCAGAAACAACUACACCUCUAACAACAUCAGUAACUACAGCAUCCUCAACAACUGAAAUUCCCACAACCACAAUUGCUGGUACAGAAUCCAUAUCUACUACUUCAAUAGUGAUGCCUACAACUUCAGAGAGUACAACAGUAGAAACCACGACUACAGCUUCAUCAACUGCUCCUACAACAACAAACGAACCAACAACAUCAACAGUUGUAACUUCAGAAUCCACAAUUCUUACUACAACGACAGCACCUACAUCUUCAGAAACAACUGCACCUUUAACAACUUCAGUAACUACAGCACUCUCAACUACUGACAUUCCCACAACCACAGUUGUGAGUACAGAAACCACAUCUAUUACUUCAACAGUGGUGCCUACAACUUCAGAGAGUACAACAGCAGAAACCACGACUACAGCUUCAUCAACCACAACUACAACAACGAACAAUCCAACAACAUCAACAGCUGCAACUUCAGAAUCCACAACUCUCACUUCAACAACAGUGCCUACAUCUAUAGAAACAACUGCACCUGUAACAACAUCAGUAACUACAGCAUCCUCAACUACUGAAAUUCCCACAACCACAGUUGUAAGUUCAGAAACCACAUCUGUUUCUUCAACAGUGGUGCCUACAACUUCAGAGAGUACAACAUCAGAAACCACGACUACAGUUUCAUCAACCACACCAACAACAACGACCAAUCCAACAACAUCAACAUCUGUAACUUCUGAAUCUACAAGUCUUACUUCAACAAUUAUACCUACAUCUUCAGAAAUAACUACACCUCUAACAACAUCAGUAACUACAGCAUCCUCAACUACUGAAAUUCCCACAACCAUAGUGGUGAGUUUAGAAACCACAUCUAUUACUUCAACAGUGGUGCCUACAACUUCAGAGAGUACAACAGUAGAAACAACGACUACAGCUUCAUCAACCACUCCUACAACAACAAACAAUCCAACAACAUCAACAGCUGCAACUUCAGAAUCCACAACUCUCACUUCAACAACAGUGCCUACAUCUAUAGAAACAACUGCACCUGUAACAACAUCAGUAACUACAGCAUCCUCAACUACUGAAAUUCCCACAACCACAGUUGUGAGUUCCAAAUCCACAUCUACUACUUCAACAGUGGUGCCUACAACUUCAGAGAGUACAACAGUAGAAACCACGACUACAGCUUCAUCAACCACUCCUACAACAACAAACAAUCCAACAACAUCAACAUCUGUAACUUCUGAAUCUACAACUCUUACUUCAACAGUUAUAACUACAGCAUCCUCAACUACUGAAAUUCCCACAACCACAGUUGUGAGUACAGAAUCCACAUCUACUACUUCAGCAGUGGUGCCUACAACUUCAGAGAGUACAACAGUAGAAACCACGACUACAGCUUCAUCAACCACUCCUUCAACAACAAACAAUCCAACAACAACAACAGCUGUAGCUUCAGAAUCUACAACUCUUACUUCAACAGUUAUAACUACAGCAUCCUCAACUACUGACAUUCCCACAACCACAGUUGUGAGUACAGAAUCCACAUCUACUACUUCAACAGUGGUGCCUACAACUUCAGAGAGUACAACAGUAGAAACCACGACUACAGCUUCAUCAACCACUCCUUCAACAACAAACACUCCAACAACAACAACAGCUGUAGCUUCAGAAUCCACAACUCUCAGUUCAACAGCAUUGCCUACAUCUAUAGAAACAACUGCACCUGUAACAACAUCAGUAACUACAGCAUCCUCAACUAUUGAAAUUCCCACAACCACAGUUUUGAGUUCAGAAUCCACAUCUACUACUUCAACAGUGGUGCCUACAACUUCAGAGAGUACAACAGUAGAAACCACGACUACAGCUUCAUCAACCACUCCUACAACAACAAACAAUCCAACAAGAUCAAUAGCUGCAACUUCUGAAUCCACAACUCUCACUUCAACAACAUUGCCUACAUCUAUAGAAACAACUGCACCUGUAACAACGUCAGUAACUACAGCAUCCUCAACUACUGAAAUUCCUACAAGCACAGCUGUGAGUUCAGAAACCACAUCUGUUACUUCAACAGUGGUGCCUACAACUUCAGAGAGUACAACAGCAGAAACCACGACUACAGCUUCAUCAACCACACCUACAACAACGAGCAAUCCAACAACAUCAACAUUUGUAACUUCAGAAUCUACAACUCUAACUUCAAGAACAGUACCUACAUCUAUAGAAAAAACUGCAACUGUAACAACAUCAGUAAUUACAGCAUCCUCAACUACUGAAAUUCCCACAAGCGCAGUUCUGAGUUCAGAAGCCACAUCUAUUACUUCAACAGUGGUGCCCACAACUUCAGAGAGUACCACAGCAGAACCCACGAAUACAGCUUCAUCAACCACACUUUCAACAACAAACAAUCCAACAUCAACAGCUGUUACUUCUGAAUACACAACUAUCACUUCAACAACAGUGCCUACAACUUCAGAAAGUACAACACCAGAAACCACGACUACAGCUUCAUCAACCACUCUUACAACAACAAUCAAUCCAAUAUCAGCAGCUGUAACUUCUGAAUACACAACUAUUACUUCAACAACAGUGCCUACAUCUUCAGAAACAACUACACCUGUAACAACUUCAGUAACUACAGCAUCCUCAACUACUAAAAUUCCCACAACCACAGCUGUGAGUACAGAAACCACACCUAUUACUUCAACAGUGGUGCCCACAACUUCAGAGAGUACAACAGCAGAAACCAUGACUACAGCUUCAUCAGCGAUAUCUACGACAACAAAUAAUCCAACAUCAAAAACUGUAACUUCAGAAUCCACAACUCUCACUUCAACAACAUUGCCUACAUCUUCAGAAACAACAGCUCCUGUAACAACUUCAGUAAUGACAGCAUCCUCAACUACUGAAAUUCAGACAACCACUGCUUUGAGUACAGAAACCACACCAAUUAUUUCAACAGCGGUGCCCACUACUUCAAAGAGUACAACAGCAGAAACCAUGACUACUGUUUCAUCAACGAUAUCUACAACAACAAUCAAUCCAACAUCAAAACCUGUAACUUCAGAAUCCUCAACUCUCACUUCAACAAUAGUGCCUACAUCCUUAGAAACAACUGCACCUGUAACAAUUUUAGUAACUACAGCAUCCUCAACUGCUGAAAUUCCCACAACCACAGUUAUGAGUACAGAAACCACACCUAUUACUUCAACAGUGGUGCAUUCAACUUCAGAAAGUACAACACCAGAAACCACGACUACAGCUUCAUCAACCACACCUACAACAACAAACAUUCCAACAACAUCAACAGUUGUACCUUCAGAAUCCACAACUUUCACUUCAACAACAGUCCCUACAUCUUCAGAAACAACUGCACCUGUAACAACUUCAGUAACUAAAGCAUCCUCAACUACUGAAAUUCUCACAACCACAGUUAUGAGUACAGAAACCACACCUAUUACUUCAACAGUGGUGCCCACAACUUCAGAGAGUACAACAGCAGAAACCACAUCUACAGCUUCAUCAACCACACUUACAACAAACAAUCCAACAACAUCAACAUUUGUAACUUCAGAAUCCACAACUCUCACUUCAAAAACAGUGCCUACAUCUUCAGAAACAACUGCACCUGUAAAAACAUCAGUAACUACAGCAUCCUCAACUUCUGAAAUUCCCACAAGCACAGUUGUGAGUAAAGAAACCACACCUAUUACUUCAACAGUGGUGCCUACAACUUCAGAGAGUACAACAGCAGAAACCACGACUACAGCUUCAUCAACAAUUUCUACAACAACAAACAAUCCAACAUCAAAAGCUGUAACUUCAGCAUCCACAGCUCUCACUUCAACAACAGUCCCUACAUCUUCAGAAACAACUGCACCUGUAACAACUUCAGUAACUAAAGCAUCCUCAACUACUGAAAUUCUCACAACCACAGUUAUGAGUACAGAAACCACACCUAUUACUUCAACAGUGGUGCAUUCAACUUCAGAAAGUACAACACUAGAAACCACGACUACAGCUUCAUCAUCCACACCUGCAACAACAAACAAUCCAACAACAUCAACAGUUGUACCUUCAGAAUCCACAACUCUCACUUCAACAACAUUGCCUACAUCUUCAGAAACAACUGCACCUGUAAAAACAUCAGUAACUACAGCAUCCUUAACUUCUGAAAUUCCCACAAGCACAGUUGUGAGUAAAGAAACCACACCUAUUACUUCAACAGUGGUGCCUACAACUUCAGAGAGUACAACAGCAGAAACCACGACUACAGCUUCAUCAACAAUUUCUACAACAACAAACAAUCCAACAUCAAAAGCUGUAACUUCAGCAUCCACAGCUCUCACUUCAACAACAGUGCCUGCAUCUUCAGAAACAACUGCACCUGUAACAACUUCAGUAACUACAGCAUCCUCAACUACUGAAAUUCCUACAACCACAGUUGUGAGUACAGAAACCACACCUAUUACUUCAACAGUGGUGCAUUCAACUUCAGAAAGUACAACACUAGAAACCACGACUACAGCUUCAUCAUCCACACCUGCAACAACAAACAAUCCAACAACAUCAACAGUUAUACCUUCAGAAUCCUCAACUCUCACUUCAACAACAUUGCCUACAUCUUCAGAAACAACUGCACCUGUAACAACUUCAGUAACUAAAGCAUCCUCAACUACUGAAAUUCUCACAACCACAGUUAUGAGUACAGAAAC
ensembl:lncRNA